GGGGGUUCUUACCACACGUAUCCUCGUCUGGGGGGCCAUUCCGGAGCUUGGAGGAAGCUGAAAAGGCUAUCAAAAGCCAUCUUGAUGGCCUGCGCUCUCCAAUAAUGUGCAGAGAUGGGCUAUCGCCGGUGGAGGUUGCAGUGCGACAUCGCCUUUACUGGCCUGAUGGCACAAGGAAGAAGUCGUCCCAAGGCAAUCCCGGGCGUAGGAAUAUGAACCUAUUGGUUCAAGCUUUACUGGAUAAAUACAAUGAAGAUCACCAUCUUUUGGGGGAUCUUGCAUAUGAACUUGAUAAUGUUGUGUGCUCCCGACAAAUUUACGAGGAGGAGGGCGGCCUUAUUAACAAAUUCUAUCAUAUCAAUUUGACUGCAAAAACCAAAGGAGAUGAUGGUUUUUCACAGUGGCGUCGACAAUCUGUUAUUUGGUGAAAUCACACGAAUAGAAGGCGAAAAUGAAGAAUACAUGCUCAAUUGUUUCUGUAUGGUUAAACCUAUUGACAAUGGCGGAUGCUCAGGUUGUACGAAGUACGGGGAGUAUGAUUUGAAGCACCCUGUUCAUGCUGAUAAAUACAAAGGUGGCCACUCUACCCCGGUCAUUCAAUGUCGUGGUAUCAAUCAUAUUCCUUUCUUGCAACCGGAUGUACCUGUAUACAUCCGGAAUAAGCAGGAUUGAUUGGAGUUUGAGAAGGCUAUGUUGGCGAAGGAGGAGGCUAAGAUAAGAUAUAUAUACGAG